GACGUAGGAGGCGGGCGUUGUCCGGAUUCAUUGGGCGUAAAGAGCACGCAGGCGGUUUGGCAAGUCGGAUGUGAAAACCCGGAGCUCAACUCCGGACCUGCAUCCGAAACUGCCCGACUAGAGGUAGGUAGGGGAGAUCGGAAUUCCUGGUGUAGCGGUGAAAUGCGCAGAUAUCAGGAGGAACACCGGUGGCGAAGGCGGAUCUCUGGGCCUUACCUGACGCUCAGGUGCGAAAGCUAGGGGAGCGAACAGG
rnacentral:rRNA from 1 species